CAGCCGCCACGGUAAUACGAAGGGGGCUAGCGUUGUUCGGAAUUACUGGGCGUAAAGCGCACGUAGGCGGAUAUUUAAGUCAGGGGUGAAAUCCCGCAGCUCAACUGCGGAACUGCCUUUGAUACUGGGUAUCUUGAGUAUGGAAGAGGUUAGUGGAAUUGCGAGUGUAGAGGUGAAAUUCGUAGAUAUUCGCAGGAACACCAGUGGCGAAGGCGGCUAACUGGUCCAUAACUGACGCUGAGGUGCGAAAGCGUGGGGAGCAAACAGGAUUAGAUACCCAGUAGUCCCUGUCUCUUAUACA
rnacentral:rRNA from 1 species